GAUGAACGCUGGCGGUGUGCCUAAUACAUGCAAGUCGAGCGAACAGACGAGGAGCUUACUCCUCUGACGUUAGCGGCGGACGGGUGAGUAACACGUGGAUAACCUACCUAUAAGACUGGGAUAACUUCGGGAAACCGGAGCUAAUACCGGAUAACAUGUUGAACCGCAUGGUUCAACAGUGAAAGACGGUCUUGCUGUCACUUAUAGAUGGAUCCGCGUCGCAUUAGCUAGUUGGUAAGGUAACGGCUUACCAAGGCAACGAUGCGUAGCCGACCUGAGAGGGUGAUCAGCCACACUGGAACUGAGACACGGUCCAGACUCCUACGGGAGGCAGCAGUAGGGAAUCUUCCGCAAUGGGCGAAAGCCUGACGGAGCAACGCCGCGUGAGUGAAGAAGGUCUUCGGAUCGUAAAACUCUGUUAUUAGGGAAGAACAAAUGUGUAAGUAACUAUGCACGUCUUGACGGUACCUAAUCAGAAAGCCACGGCUAACUACGUG
rnacentral:rRNA from 1 species